rnacentral:misc_RNA from 1 species
GGAAGUAAAAGUCGAACAAGGUUUCCGUAGGUGAACCUGCGGAAGGAUCAUUAAAGAGUAAGGGUCUUCGGGCCCGAUCUCCAACCCUUUGUUUAACUACCAUGUUGCUUUGGCGGGCCCGUCUCACGACCGCCGGAAGUUUGGCUUCGACCAAACUUCUGGCCCGUGCCCGUCAGUGGCCCCUUCAAAUUCUUGAUCAAGUAUGAUGUCUUAGUUAAAAACUUAAUAGUUAAAACUUACAACAACGGAUCUCUUGGUUCUG